GAUGAACGCUGGCGGCGUGCCUAAUACAUGCAAGUCGAGCGAACAGAUGAAGUGCUUGCACUUCUCACGUUAGCGGCGAACGGGUGAGUAACACGUAAGGAAUCUACCUAUAAGCGGGGGAUAACAUUCGGAAACGGGUGCUAAUACCGCAUAAUAUCUUCUUCCGCAUGGAAGAAGAUUGAAAGACGGCUCUGCUGUCACUUAUAGAUGACCUUGCGGUGCAUUAGUUAGUUGGUGGGGUAAUGGCCUACCAAGACGAUGAUGCAUAGCCGACCUGAGAGGGUGAUCGGCCACAUUGGGACUGAGACACGGCCCAAACUCCUACGGGAGGCAGCAGUAGGGAAUCUUCCGCAAUGGGCGAAAGCCUGACGGAGCAAUGCCGCGUGAGUGAAGAAGGCCUUCGGGUCGUAAAACUCUGUUAUAAGAGAAGAACAAAUUGUAGAGUAACUGCUACAGUCUUGACGGUAUCUUAUCAGAAAGCCACGGCUAACUACGUGCCAGCAGCCGCGGUAA
rnacentral:rRNA from 1 species